GAGCCAAAUCCCGGUAGGACUUGUUACUUUCACUUGCUCUUUUUUCUGAACCAUUUUAGCAGCCAAGGAUGGGAAUUACACAGGGAAAUGCAGGCUAAUCAGCUAAAUCUAGAUUAAAUACGCUAGUCCUUGGGGACCUUGAGCUGAAUUAAUGGAAACGGAGGUUUUUAGUCUUCCAAACUAAUUCUGGAAGCUCACCUCCAGCAGAGGCAAACUUGAGGCUGUCCAAAGGCAGCAGAUGGCAAGGCUUUCUCCAGGUGCACCAAUUGCUGAAACAGCCCUCGGCAAAACCAUGAGGAAGAAAUGCUUUUCCCUUAGAGAUCCCUGUGUGAAUUCCUUGACUUCCUUCAAGUCUGCUCACAUGUUACUUUCUCGAACAGAGCAAGAAGAUAGAAGCAAAUAACAAAGGUGGGGUCUUGUUCCAAUAAUAAAGAAUGUGAUGAUGACACAUCUACCGUUCUGGAACACAGAAAAGACUACUUGCAGCAAUAUCUCUAAAAAUUAUCUGUGGCAGACUCAGUGGAUGGUCAAGUUUGGCUCUGAAACCAGUCUCUUCAUUUCUCAGAGAAAGGACAGAUCCAGUUUAUGUGAUUAAUUCAAUGAUAUCAAUAGAGAUCACAGAUACCAUGAUCAAAAUAAGAACAUUGCUUUUUGCAAAAUCAGAUUAAACUGCACUCCAAAAGAAUACUGAAUCAUGUAAAAGCAGAAAUUCCUCUCAGAGAUUUCUGUAUGCAAAGAAAAAACAAUUAGGUCACAGGAUACCAAGUUCUUGAGACUGUAUGUCCUUAUUAAGUCUCAUUUUCAUUCAGAUAUGUAUAAGAACAUUUGGCAUUUGGUAAAAAGGUUAUGUUUAUCUGUGUUUUCCUGAAUAUAGAAUCAAUAUCUUUGUGACAAAAAGCGUUAGCUAAGAAGAAUCCUUAUAGCAUUUAAAAUAAUUAGUAACUAUAAUGCAUAAUGUAUAAUUCAAGAGUUUUCUGUGGCCCAUUUCCCAUCUACCCUGUCCCUGUCUCCAUCCUCCUUCCUCACCUCCACCCAACCCCCGCCAAAGAGAUAAUUAAGCUUUUAAGAAUGAGAUGGAUCACUUCAAAGUAAUAUAUUUCUACUUUACUUCCUUAAUCCAUGUUUAGACUUUCCUAACUGCCAAAAACUUUAUGUCAUUUAAACUUGGUAUUCUUCUAUUUCUUUGUCCCUGCCCUAUUUUCUCCCAUCACAAAAUGUAAGCAAAUCAAUGUGUGAGAAGUUCCAAUGGAUUUAAUUGAACAGAAAGUUGGGGUAUCUUGUACCCUCUCCUUUUUUUUCUUUCGGUACAUAAGUUGUGUUUCCCACUUGAGACUCAAGAAUCUAUCUUGGCAUGAUUCAAUCCUUUUUAUCAGUUGGUUCUAAACAACUUUCACCACCAUAUUGCCUCCCUAGUCUGAAAAUACACUAAUUUCUAGUCAGGCCAAACUAUACAUCCUUCCCGGAACUGACUGCAUUUGUUGUGUUAUAAUCCCAGCUAAAAUGCCUUCCCUGAUAUUUACUACUUAUCCUUCUAAAUACAACCCCAAUGUCACCACCUCCCUGAGAACACCCCUGAUUCCACAGGGUAAGAGUCAGGGUGGUGUGGGAAGACCACACAUGUCCUCUGCAAUCAUUCACAGGUAGGUAUAAGUGAAAUGGGAGAGUUCCCUGGUCCCCCUCACAGGAUGUGUAACAACAGUGUGGCUCUCUUUUCAGUUCCUAUGAGCUUAAAGCCCUUACGAGAGGGGGAGCACGCGACAAGCAGGUGCAGGAACCAGAGUGAGCACUUUUGGGCUCUGGUCCCACAGCAGUGUAGGGGUGAGUGUCUGUGACUCUCAAAACCCAAGUGGGCACAUGUUACAGCAUGCUCUUUUAGUAUUGCCAUCCACAACAGCUUCAGUUUUAACUAGCUUAGUGGACCCUCUGCCUUUUUGCAAGGGCAGAGGGCCAAUAUGACAGCUUUCUGUAUUCUGAGCUCUUGUCCAGCAUCCAGGAAGAAUCAGGUAACACACAAACUUGAAGGAUAUAUGUGGGGGUUUUACUGAGUGGUGGAGGUGUACUCAGCAGGAUAGAUGGGGAGCUGGACAGGGGAUGGAGUGGGAAGAUCAUCUGCCCCUGGAGUCUGGCCAUCCACUGGCUGAUUCUCUGACAGUCCCCAGCUGUACUUCUGACAGUCCUUCUCUUCUCUCCUUUUCUCCUGUAUUAUUCUGCCAUUCAAUUUGCUUGUCUCCUUGUUUUCUUGUCUACUCACCUGCUCCUGGAGCCUGAGAUUUGGAGUUUAUAUGGGUACAGGACAGAGUGUGUGAUGGGUCAAAAGGUGACUUUUUGGGCAUGAAAACAGGAAUGCCUGUUCUGUAUCCAGGCUUGAGGGUGGGGCCUUUGCUGGGGAACUGCCCUCUUCUACCUAGUAUUUCCAUCUCCUUUCCAUAUCAUAAAGAUGUGAGGCACACAGUUGGUGUGCAGAUAUGAAAUACAUGUUUCUUUAUGUUUUCUCCUUUUGCUCUAAAAGGGUCCAUAUUUGCCUGCAUUCUAGUGCUUACCACACAACAGUGGGGUAUUUGAUUAUAUGUCUCUUUCUCCAGUAGACUAAUGGUGAUCCCUGUGCAGGAUUCUUAGAUGGGCCUCAAUAAAUUUUGGUUGAGUUGCACUGAAUUGUGUUUCUAAAGUAGGUAUCAUGUCUUAUUUCCUUCAGGGCACAAUAUCAAGCACUUAGAAGCUCAAAAAAAAAAAAAAGAUUGUAAGAUACUAAAUGAAUAGAUUAACCAAAAAAUUCAUUUUUCUAGCAGUGUUCAGUGAUGGGAACAGAACAGUAAAACAAAUACACAUAAAAAUACAUGAAGGUCAGGACCUACAGAACUAAAUGAGUUAGCAUCAUUUCAUCUGCCUCUGCUACUUCCUAGCUAUGCAAACUGAGACAAAUCACAUAUAUUCUCUGAUCUUCUAUUUCAUUAUCUGUAAAGUAGACACAAAAAUAAUACGUAGCUCUUAGCACUGUUCAUAAAAUCAAAUAAAAGUAAGUAAAGUGCUUAGCAGAGUGCGUAAAACACAAAUUUGUGCUCCAUAAGUGUUAGCUGUUACCAUCUUAUUGUUUUCUGAAAGGCCUCCAGCUAUACUUGUUAAGAAAGGCGUUUAUUAAUUGUAUUUAAAGAUACUAACCAUUAAAGUAAUGAGAGUCAACAGAGUCAAUAUUUAUUGAGUGCCUACUAUGAGCCAGUCAUCUGUUCUCAUUGUAUUACACCAUU